CCCUUAGAUGUUCUGGGCCGCACGCGCGCUACACUGAUGCAUUCAACGAGCCUAUCCUUGACCGACAGGUCCGGGUAAUCUUUGAAUCUGCAUCGCGACGGGGAUAGAUUAUUGCAAUUAUUAAUCUUCAACGAGGAAUGCCUAGUAGGCGCAAGUCAUCAGCUUGCGUCGAUUACGUCCCUGCCCUUUGUACACACCGCCCGUCGCUCCUACCGAUUGAAUGUUCCGGUGAACACUUUGGAAUAGUUCUUAUGUGAGGGGAAACUCUUUGCUUGGAUACUGUGAAGUUGUGUAAACCUUAACAUUUAGAGGAAGGAGAAGUCGUAACA
rnacentral:rRNA from 1 species